GACGUAGGGCGCGAGCGUUGUCCGGAUUUAUUGGGCGUAAAGGGCUCGUAGGCGGUCUGUCACGUCGGGAGUGAAAACUCAGGGCUUAACCCUGAGCCUGCUUCCGAUACGGGCAGACUAGAGGUAUGCAGGGGAGAACGGAAUUCCUGGUGUAGCGGUGAAAUGCGCAGAUAUCAGGAGGAACACCAGUGGCGAAGGCGGCCCGCUGGACAUGUAUUGACGCUGAGGUGCGAAAGCGUGGGGAGCAAACAGG
rnacentral:rRNA from 1 species